UAGCCUAGUCGUUAAGGCUACGGAUCGCCAAUCCGGAGACGGCGGGUUCGAUUCCCGU
rnacentral:tRNA from 1 species